CGAGCGGGCUGCUCUGCUCCAGGUGAUGCGCUCCUGGAGGCUGGUCGAGAGAGGAGAGCUGUUUUUGAUUGUGACCAUUUAAAGUGGAGUUGCCUGUGAAAUGCAGACUGAGCAUAAAAUAAUGCCCAUUGAAGUUCUUUUUGAUAUCUGUUCCAACACAAGAGCAUCUCAGCAGAAAUGUGAUCAAUUGUACUCCUGACCCGCGCAAACCUCAGGGAAAAAGGAAACGAAGCGCACGCAGUAGGUAUUUGUCACAGCUGUGAAGAACUGAAUAACAUAUGACCUCACAGCACCUCCAUGAAGAUGGAGAUGAAUUCACACCUGAAUUUGAAACAAUGGCCACCCACGAUAAGUUCUAUGCAAUAAUUUGCUUAUCUCUAUGGGAACCAGAGAGAGUGCAAAGAUAUGAGCGCAAAUACACUACACUGAAGGAGCCGAUGCUAAUGUCAGUCACACGGAUAAAGUAAUCGGCAUUUUUGAGAUUUUGUUCACUGUUACGGACCUUCCCUCCACUCUUGUCCCCAAUGCUUUGGCUGAAUUGACAACGGAGAGGAACUGCAGGAGGGCAACUCCCUCAAUAGAAAGGGAGGCUGCUGCUCAGCCAGAACCAACUGUUCAGAAUUGUCACAUGUGACUCUUAGUCCAGUGAUGCCAGAUCUGCCGUCCCAAGAGAAGCUAGGAAACCUCAUAGGUAUGUAAGAUUUCUUAAACUUCCCGACACUCUAAGAUCAACCCAGGAACUCAUUUGUAGACUGAAUGCAGCCUUU